rnacentral:piRNA from 1 species
UGUGACAACCUGACCAUGUUUUGGGGAGGA